CCNNNNNNNGUNGNNCNNNCNCNGANGANNNCUNNNUNUNUUGCUGACGAGUGGCGGACGGGUGAGUAAUGCUUGGGAAUCUGGCUUAUGGAGGGGGAUAACUACUGGAAACGGUAGCUAAUACCGCGUAAUGUCUGNGGACUAAAGGGGGCGAAAGCUCUUGCCAUAAGAUGAGCCCAAGUGGGAUUAGGUAGUUGGUGAGGUAANGGCUCACCAAGCCGNCGAUCUCUAGCUGGUCUGAGAGGAUGACCAGCCACACUGGAACUGAGACACGGUCCAGACUCCUACGGGAGGCAGCAGUGGGGAAUAUUGCACAAUGGGGGAAACCCUGAUGCAGCCAUGCCGCGUGAAUGAAGAAGGCCUUCGGGUUGUAAAGUUCUUUCGGUGAUGAGGAAGGUGUAAUGGUUAAUACCCGUUACAAUUGACGUUAGUCACAGAAGAAGCACCGGCUAACUCCGUGCCAGCAGCCGCGGUAAUACGGAGGGUGCGAGCGUUAAUCGGAAUAACUGGGCGUAAAGGGCACGCAGGCGGUUGUUUAAGUGAGGUGUGAAAGCCCUGGGCUCAACCUGGGAAUUGCAUUUCAGACUGGACAACUAGAGUACUUUAGGGAGGGGUAGAAUUCCACGUGUAGCGGNGAAAUGCGUAGAGA
rnacentral:rRNA from 1 species